rnacentral:rRNA from 1 species
AACGAACGCUGGCGGCAGGCCUAACACAUGCAAGCCGAACGCCCAGCAAGGGGAGUGGCCGACGGGUGAGUAACACGUGCGAACGCGCCCUUCGGUUCGGAAUAACCCAGGGAUACUUUAGCUAAUACCGGAUUCGUGCGACAGCAGAAAGAGUUAUCGCCGAAGGCUCGGCCCGCGUCGGAUUAGCUAGUUGGUGAGGUAAUGGCUCACCAAGGCGAGGAUCGGUAGCUAGUCUGAGAGGAGGAUCAGCCUCCCUGGGACUGAGACACGGCCCAGACUCCUACGGGAGGCAGCAGUCGGGAAUAUUGGUCAAUGGGCGAAAGCCUGAAACAGCAACGCCGCGUGCACGAUGAAGGCCUUCGGGUCGUGAAGUGCUUUUCGGGAGGGUGAGGAAGGACAGUACUCCCGGAAUAAGUCACGGCUAACUACGUGCCAGCAGCCGCAGUAACAC